CUGCCCUUAGGGCAAAUUCCUACCUAUUCCUGCGGAAGCAUGUGUAUCAUUCCCCUAUGGUUUAUAACCCCUGAGUCUGGGGGUAAUGGCACGGGGACCCACCAGCUUGUCUGCCGCCAUCUGGGGUAGGUUUGCAUAAACACACCUGCCCACUGCGAAACAGUUCCUCUUCCUUGCUCUCCUCCCACCUUUUACUCUGACCCCUUUUCUUUCUUUCUCUCCUUCCUUCCUUCUUUCCUUCCUUCCUUCCUUCCUUUUUUCUUUCUUUUUUGUUUUUGAGAUGGAGUCUCACUCUUGCCCAGGCUGCAGUGCAGAGGCACGAUCUCGGCUCACUGCAACCUCCAGCCCCUGGGCUCUAGCAAUCCUUCCACCUCAGCCUCCCAAAUAGCUAGGACCACUGAUGCCAGCAACCAUGACCAGCUACAUUUUUGUAUUUUUGGUAGAGACGGGGUUUCGCCAUGUUGCUCAGGCUGAUCUUGAACUCCCGAGCUCAAGUGAUCCGCCCGUCUCAGCUUCCCAAAGUGCUGAGAUUACAGGCAUGAGCCACCAUGCCCAGCCACCUGAGAGACAUCCUCUUUUCUAUGGCCUUGUUGUUCCUAUCUUGCUCAGUUUGGAUUUUAUGCCCAGGCUUUUCUCCUCAGGGUGGAGCUUUGUCCUAGAAAGAUGGUUUGGUUUGGUUUGUUUGAGAGUUCACAGGGCCCAGACCUCUAGGCCACUCCAGCGUGGCCAGAGGUUUCCCUAGUCUCCAUGUGACCACAUUUCUUCUCAAUGCCAGCUUUGCUGCUGUUCUCCAGUGGCCCACUGAACUUUCCAGUACAGUGCUGGAAGCGGGGAUACAGGGACAAAUAAGACACAGAUCCUGUUCCUAAAGAGUUUUUUGAGAUGAAGUCUCGUUCUUGUCCCCCAGGCUGGAGUGCAAUGGCAUGAUCUCAGCUCACUGCAACCUCUGCCUCCCGGGUUCAAGCAAUUCUCCUGUCUCAGCCUCCUGAGUAGCUGGAUUACAGAGUCUUUUCUAAGGCACCAACUACUUCCUUCAAGCAGCAGCCAGAGAUCUUUGCUUAAUGGCUGAGAAACACAGAGGAGAGACCCAGAGAGAAGGAGAAGGCCGCAUGAAGAUGGAGCAGAGACUGGAGUUAUUCAGCCAAGUCAAGGAAUGCCUGGAGCACCAGAAGCCGGAAGAGGCAAGGAAGGAUCCUCCCUUAGAGCAUUUGGAAGAGUGUGGCCCUGCCAACACCUUGACUUCAAACUUCUGGCCUCCAUAACUAUGAAAUAAAUUCUUGUUGUUUUAAGCCACCAAGUUUGUGGUAACUUCUUACAGC
rnacentral:lncRNA from 1 species